rnacentral:lncRNA from 1 species
ACCAUACUCUAGUAAUAUAUAUAUAUAUAAAUAAUUAUUUUGAAACUAAUAAUAAUUCUCUAAACUCAAAUAUAUCUUCUUCUCCUUUAUUGAGCCUAUUAUAUACUAAAAGUGGUAAAAAUUAAUUUAAUUUGAGUACUAAAACAGAUUGAUCCUUCAUCAGAAUUAAAUGAAUAUGGGAAAAGCUCUUCAACAGAAAAUAAACCUAAUGCCACUCAAGAUGAAAAAAGCGACUUUAAAACUUUUGAAGUUCCAGAUUCUGCCAUUUAUGAUCCGCCAGUAGAGGAUGAUUUCUCUCCCAGGAUCUUGGAUGUGCCAGAUAACUCUGUUACUGAUGCUCAAAAAAAAUAGUGAGGAAAAUAGAAAAUUUGAUGGUGAUCUAGGGAAGGAAGAAGAGGAAAAUAAAAAAUUAAAUGAUGAUCUUAGGGAGGGUAAUGAGGAAGAACAUAAUAAUUACACAUAUCCAACCUCUCCACUCCCAGAUGAGAAAAUGAAUAACAAACUACCUCGUAAAAAAAUAUGUGGAACCCAAGGGUGAAAGUCUAAAAAAUGUAAAGUUGAAAAUCAAUGACUCAGUUGCAAAGGAGUUGAGUUUGGCAAUUAGUGUUUAUGGACAAGAGAGAAUAGCCAAAUCUGUCAAUAAGCAUGCAAUAAUCAGAAUGGAAGGUUCUGAAGAAAUUUUGAAACGUUUUAAAUCCUUGCGUAAUAACCAUUCUCCUCAUUCUUCAAAAAAAGUAUUUAAGGCAACCUCUGACAUACUAAUGAGACUAUUGAAAGAUUUAUUGAUUAAGAUAUUCAGGGAUGGAAUAAAUUUGAUGAUGCUCCUUUAUAAUGAUUUCGCAUCAAGGUAUUCAAUACCUUUGGAUGAUUUAAUUUAUUCAGCAGAAGAAUCCUUAUUUCAUUUAAUUUUAAAAAGUUCAGACGUUACCAACACAAAAAUCUCAGUUUUGAGUGAAGGAAGUAUCCAAAACCUUAUUCGAAUUAAGAGCCUUCAUAAGUCAGAUGAAUUUCAAAAGACGAUUCUCAGACCAUUAAGCGAGAAGGCCACAACAGGAAAGGAUUUGCCCCCCAAAUGCGAUGAAAUGAAAGCCAAGAUAGUUUUGUGGUAUUUACAAAUGCAAGGGCGGAAGGAAUUAUUACCUACAAGGCUAGUUAAAAGAGGAACUCG